rnacentral:rRNA from 1 species
GCAGCCGCGGUAAUUCCAGCUCCAAUAGCUUAUAUUAAAGUUGUUGCAGUUAAAAAGCUCGUAGUUGAAUUUCGGGAUCAAUUAAUUGGUCGUGCCUCUGGUACGUACUGAUUUUAUUGGUUUCUCCCUUCUGACGAACCAUGAUGUCAUUAAUUUGAUGUCGUGGAGAAUCAGGACUGUUACUUUGAAAAAAUUAGAGUGUUUAAAGCAAGCUAACGCUUGAAUACAUUAGCAUGGAAUAAUGAAAUAGGACGUUUGAUCCUAUUUUGUUGGUUUCUAGGAUCGACGUAAUGAUUAAUAGGGAUAGUUGGGGGCAUUAGUAUUCAAUUGUCAGAGGUGAAAUUCUUGGAUUUAUUGAAGACUAACUACUGCGAAAGCAUUUGCCAAGGAUGUUUUCAUUAAUCAAGAACGAAAGUUAGGGGAUCGAAGACGAUCAGAUACCGUCGUAGUCUUAACCAUAAAAUAUGCCGACUAGGGAUCGGAUGAUGUUAAUUUUUUAAUGACUCA